UACAUGCACACACAUAAAGAAAAAUAAAUACGAUUUUAAGAAAAGUGAAAUUAGGGUAAUUAUCAUUAACCAUGGCUGUAUAACUUUCUCAUCAUCCUGAAAGACAAAAGCAUAGUAUUACCCCCAGUUGUGAGCUGAACCGGCAAAGGUCUCAGGAUCAUGUGGCUGGCAUUGAAGAGCGUUCUAUUCACUCCUUGGCCUGAUUGUGACAUCGUGAGCCCCCUUGUCCCCCACCCGCUGCCUGUGUCCUUUGUGUGCACACAUGUGAAUAACACAUACGCACUUGAGUAAGCAGCCAGCCAGAAGUGCCAGCUUCCUUCGUAUUGUCAAGUGGCUACAGUUGCCCCUGGGAAUGGCAAGAACAGGGCAGGCUGGAGAUUUUGGACACAGGAGGAUUGUGCCUGAAGGACAGGGGAGGGGGACAUGAAGGGACACCGACUUCGCAGAUGGUAGACAUAGAAGCUGCACAGGGAGAGGAAUGUGUCUGGCUGACCCAGGGUCCAGGCUAAGCCCAACAACAAAAGCUUCAUGAGAGACUCUUGUCCCGUGACACAACAUUACGUAGCCACCAAUAAGAAUGCAGUGAAGUUCUGCCAGGAAGAUAUUCAUGUGUUGAUGACAAAAACCUGCUUGGAGUCUGCUGUGACUGUUGCUGGCCUGUGCAUCACCUUAUGGAGUCCGAACAAAUUACCUGACAGUGCUUCCAGGCGCGUCCACUGGGGGAGAGUGAACCUGGUUCUCGCUCUGCAGAGGUCUGUUUCCUGCUGCCUUGAGUAUCAUAUGUACCUCUCCCAGCUGCUGUAGCUUUUUUCUCUAAAAUGGAGACAAUCACGUCUGUCCUGACA